rnacentral:rRNA from 1 species
UACGGGGGGGGGGCUUACACAUGCAAGUCGACGAUGAAGCCCAGCUUGCUGGGUGGAUUAGUGGCGAACGGGUGAGUAACACGUGGGUGAUCUGCCCUGCACUUCGGGAUAAGCCUGGGAAACUGGGUCUAAUACCGGAUAUGACCUCGGGAUGCAUGUCCUGGGGUGGAAAGUUUUUCGGUGCAGGAUGAGCCCGCGGCCUAUCAGCUUGUUGGUGGGGUAAUGGCCUACCAAGGCGACGACGGGUAGCCGGCCUGAGAGGGCGACCGGCCACACUGGGACUGAGACACGGCCCAGACUCCUACGGGAGGCAGCAGUGGGGAAUAUUGCACAAUGGGCGCAAGCCUGAUGCAGCGACGCCGCGUGAGGGAUGACGGCCUUCGGGUUGUAAACCUCUUUUCACCCCAUUGACGGAAGCGCCAAGUGGACGGUAGGUCGGAGAAGAAGCACCGGCCAACUACGUGCCAGCAGCCGCGGUAAUACGUAGGGUGCGAGCGUUGUCCGGAAUUACUGGGCGUAAAGAGCUCGUAGGGCGGAUUUGUCGCGUCGUCUGUGAAAACCCGCAGCUCAACUGCGGGCUUGCAGGCGAUACGGGCAGACUCGAGUACUGCAGGGGAGACUGGAAUUCCUGGUGUAGCGGUGAAAUGCGCAGAUAUCAGGAGGAACACCGGUGGCGAAGGCGGGUCUCUGGGCAGUAACUGACGCUGAGGAGCGAAAGCGUGGGUAGCGAACAGGAUUAGAUACCCUGGGUAGUCCACGCCGUAAACGGUGGGCGCUAGGUGUGGGUUUCCCUUCCACGGGAUCCGUGCCGUAGCCAACGCAUUAAAGCGCCCCGCCUGGGGAGUACGGCCGCAAGGCUAAAACUCAAAGGAAUUGACGGGGGCCCGCACAAGCGGCGGAGCAUGUGGAUUAAUUCGAUGCAACGCGAAGAACCUUACCUGGGUUUGACAUGUACCGGGACGACCGCCAGAGAUGUGGUUUCCCUUGUGGCCGGUAGACAGGUGGUGCAAUGGCUGUUCGUCAGCUUCGUGUCGUGCAGAUGUUGGGUUAAGUCCCCGCAAUCAAGCGCAACCCUUUGUCCUGUGUUGCCAGCACGUGAUGGUGGGGACUCGCAGGAGACUGCCGGGGUCAACUCGGAGGAAGGUGGGGACGACGUCAAGUCAUCAUGCCCCUUAUGUCCAGGGCUUCACACAUGCUACAAUGGUCGGUACAGAGGGCUGCGAUACCGUGAGGUGGAGCGAAUCCCUUAAAGCCGGUCUCAGUUCGGAUCGGGGUCUGCAACUCGACCCCGUGAAGUCGGAGUCGCUAGUAAUCGCAGAUCAGCAACGCUGCGGUGAAUACGUUCCCGGGCCUUGUACACACCGCCCGUCACGUCAUGAAAGUCGGUAACACCCGAAGCCGGUGGCCUAACCCCUCGUGGGAGGGAGCCGUCGAAGGGGGAUUCGGGGU